rfam:Aerococcus urinae ACS-120-V-Col10a, complete genome.
CCAGAACUGCAACCGCGCAUCGAUAAGUUGAAGAAUCAAGUAUGAUUAUUUGAUCACUUAUCUUGGCGAGUCUAAGUAAUUAU